UACGUAGGGACCGAGCGUUGUCCGGAAUCAUUGGGCGUAAAGAGCGUGUAGGCGUCCACUUAAGUCCUGCGUGAAAUCUUGCGGCUCAACCGCAAGCGGUCGUGGGAAACUGGGUGGCUAGAGUGCGGGAGAGGAGAGUGGAAUUCCUGGUGUAGCGGUGGAAUGCGCAGAUAUCAGGAAGAACACCCGUGGCGAAGGCGGCUCUCUGGAACGCAACUGACGCUGAGACGCGAAAGCGUGGGGAGCAAACAGG
rnacentral:rRNA from 1 species